rnacentral:tRNA from 1 species
UCCCCGAUAGCUCAGUCGGUAGAGCGACGGACUGUUAAUCCGCAGGUCCCUGGUUCGAGCCCCAGGUCGGGGAGCCA